GACAGUGUCUGAUGGGUAGUUUAACUGGGGCGGUUGCCUCCUAAAGAGUAACGGAGGCGCCCAAAGGUUCCCUCAGCCUGGUUGGCAAUCAGGUGUUGAGUGUAAGUGCACAAGGGAGCUUGACUGUGAGACCGACGGGUCGAGCAGGGACGAAAGUCGGGACUAGUGAUCCGGCGGUGGCUUGUGGAAGCGCCGUCGCUCAACGGAUAAAAGGUACCCCGGGGAUAACAGGCUGAUCUUCCCCAAGAGUCCAUAUCGACGGGAUGGUUUGGCACCUCGAUGUCGGCUCGUCGCAUCCUGGGGCUGGAGUCGGUCCCAAGGGUUGGGCUGUUCGCCCAUUAAAGCGGUACGCGAGCUGGGUUUAGAACGUCGUGAGACAGUUCGGUCCCUAUCCGCUGUGCGCGUAGGAGUCUUGAGAAGGGCUGUCCCUAGUACGAGAGGACCGGGACGGACGAACCUCUGGUGUGCCAGUUGUUCUGCCAAGGGCAUGGCUGGUUGGCUACGUUCGGGAGGGAUAACCGCUGAAAGCAUCUAAGCGGGAAGCCUGCUUCGAGAUGAGGACUCCCACCCACUUGAUGGGGUAAGGCUCCCAGUAGACGACUGGGUUGAUAGGCCGGAUCUGGAAGCACGGUAACGUGUGGAGGUGACCGGUACUAAUAGGCCGAGGGCUUGUCCUCAGUUG
rnacentral:rRNA from 1 species